AUUGAACGCUGGCGGCAGGCCUAACACAUGCAAGUCGAGCGAGCGGCAGGCGGGUGAGUAAUGUAUGGGGAUCUGCCCGAUAGAGGGGGAUAACUAGUGGAAACGGGGGCUAAUACCGCAUACUAUCGGGUGCACCCAUAUGGGAUUCGCUAGUAGGUGGGGUAAAGGCUCACCUAGGAGACGAUCUCUAGCUGGUCUGAGAGGAUGAUCAGCCACACUGGGCCUGAGACACGGCCCAGACUCCUACGGGAGGCAGCAGUGGGGAAUAUUGCACAAUGGGCGCAAGCCUGAUGCAGCCAUGCCGCGUGUAUGAAGAAGGCCUUAGGGUUGUAAAGUACUUUCAGCGGGGAGGCGUUACCCGCAGAAGAAGCACCGGCUAACUCCGUGCCAGCAGCCGCGGUAAUAC
rnacentral:rRNA from 1 species